AAUGAACGCUGGCGGCGUGCCUAACACAUGCAAGUCGAACGGAGUCCAGCCUUUAAGACCUUCGGGUCAAAGAGGGGAAGACUGAGUGGCGGACGGGUGAGUAACACGUCUGCAACCUGGCUCAUAGAGGGGGAUAACAGAGAGAAAUUUCUGCUAAUACCGCAUAAGCACACACUGCCGCAUGGCAGAGUGUGAAAAGAGAAUCGCUAUGAGAUGGAGCCGCUUCUGAUUAGCCAGUUGGCAGGGUAAGAGCCUACCAAAGCGACGAUCAGUAGCCGAUCUGAGAGGAUGAACGGCCACAUUGGGACUGAGACACGGCCCGAACUCCUACGGGAGGGAGCAGUGGGGGAUAUUGCAAAAUGGCGGGAACCCUGAUGCAGCGACGCCGCGUGAGUGAAGAAGUAUUUCGGUAUGUAAAGCUCUAUAAGCAGGGAAGAUAAUGACAGUACCUGAAUAAGAAGCACCGGCUAACUACGUG
rnacentral:rRNA from 1 species